rnacentral:misc_RNA from 1 species
UUUCCGUAGGUGAACCUGCGGAAGGAUCAUUAUCGUACAAAAUGUGAGGGGCAUGCGAGGGCUGUCGCUGACCCGAAAGGUCGUGCACGCCCGAGUGCCCUCACACACAUCCAUCUCACCCCUAUGUGCACCACCGCGUGGGUCCCCCUUUGGCUUGUUCGGAGGGGGGCUUACGUUUUCACACAAACUUUGUAUGCAGUGUAGAAUGUAUUUUUUGUUUUUGCGAUCACGCAAUCAAUACAACUUUCAACAACGGAUCUCUUGGCUCUC